CUCCGGCUCAGCCAAUCCCCCGGUUCAGGAAGGUCCCAGGACUCCCGGUGGGGUAAGCGGUACCUCUCUUUUCUUCUUUGGAGGGUUUUGCUGCUUGGUGAGUGUACCGUUUGUUAGAGUGGUCGUUUGGCUCGCUCCUUGUGACCUUUGCUUGUUCUGGAGGGCCAUAGGCAGGUCUGUAAUGGGAGCUCUUGUAUUGGCCGUGUCCAGCCUUUGGUGCGUGCCCCUGCUUUUC